GCCUAAAGUGCUGAAGAGAGAUUAGAUUCCCCAUUACUCCUUUUCUUGGUUGGGCUAUAGGCAAGAUGAAAAAUAGCCUUGCGGUCCUAAUCCCGAAGACACUCAGCACGCUCACAUUGUUCUCCAAUGUACUUCUUCUGGCUUCCCAUGCUACCAUGGCGACGUGCUGCCAUGGCGACAGGUAGUUGUAAAGCCAUUAGCCGGCUCGUCGUGAGAUUUCCAGCCCGAAUGCGCAAAUCAGGAAUCCGGCAGAGUGUGCGAUUUAAAACCACGCUUAGACAAACACACGGGCCUCCCUCGCGCCGCGUUUUACGACGAUUACGGCGAUCGCUCCUCUCUUAGCGCGAGACGAAAACAUGCGCGUUUGGCGCAACAGAAAACGCAGCAAGGUGAGGCAAAAAUAAAGAAAGAAAGAAAGAAAGAAAGAAAGAAAGAAAAAUCCCCCUCUAUACGGGAUCUCAAUGAUGAGUGGUGCUAGAAGCCCGGCUUACAGCCAGGAGACCAUUACUAAUUCCCCCGCAGGCUGUUGGAGUGAAGGUUGUGUGUGCCAGAGGAACGGUUUGAGGCUACAACUGAAACAAAAGCAAAAUUAUGGGUCUGGUUUGGCUUGAGGAGCGCGCAGUGACCCCGGCAUGCGGUUUUCGUAGGCCAGACCAGAGAGAGGAGGAGGGGUUGAUCUAAACUUACAGCUAUGGAGUGAAGUCCGCAGUCUGCCUGACGCGCCAUCGCCUUUCCUUUGUUUUUGUAGGAAGAUGUUUCUCUAAAGAGAGGCAAACAUCAAAAGUUAUUUCACAAAUAUAUGUUAGAUCUGCCUUAUUCCAUAACUCGUGUUCAAUCAAUCAAUCAAUCAAGUUUAUUUGUGAAGCACAUUUCAGUAUAAACACAACGUCAUCUCUUGGCCCGUUUCAUCCAUCCACGGGUGCAACCGUGAAGAACCCAACAGAUACUGCGGUUUCAGAAGAUGUUUGUGUCUAAAUUAGCAUUUGAACAGACAAUAUUGAGUUAAACUGCAAACAUUAUUUUUAAAAAAUGCACCAUGCAAGGUACAAGUAGCGAACGAAUCUGUGGCCUCUGCUAGUAGCACCCAGUAA